ensembl:lncRNA
CCCAGGUGCAGCCCCGCCUCGAUCUGCAGGUUACAGUCGGGUGUACUUGCAUCACAAGCUGCAGUAUCGCGUCAAAGCUACACGCUGGCGGUUUUCAAUUUUUUUUUUUUUUUUUUGUGUUUGUGUCCAUAUAAAGUGGUUGCUUAUUGUGAAAGCUAACCGUAGUAGUGAUAUCUUUUUAGAACUGUCGACAGUGGCAAGAAAAAGCGAAUGCAAGGUGAAUAUUGAAACUAAAUCUACCAUUACGGCGCUGCAAUGGCAUGCUUCCCGCCUAGUUAGGACCUGCCCAGGUGAAGGCGAAGGUUGAGGAUUGUGAUCAACAAUGGAAGAAGCCAAAGAAAUGGACUUUGACUUUAAAUGUGUUGAAGAGUAUAAGACUGGUGAUUAUGAGCCUAUGGCAUAUGAGGAGGACAGCCAAUCAAUGCCUGACAGUGUGAAUUUUGCUGUCGUCACCUUGCAAGAUACAGAUGAAGUAAUGGUAGUAGCAUCAGACUGGUUGAGCACAGACAAGAAACAAUGUUACUGGCCCCCAUUCAAAUCCACAGAGAAGUACGUGGAAGCAGUUAAGAAAAAUCUGGAGCCUUCAACAGGAUGGAAACCAUGGGAGAAAUUAAAUGUGAUCUUUCAUGCAGAUUUCGACACUUAUGAGGAGGCUGUAAAUUACCAGGUGGAACAAAGAGCGCUGAAAGAUGGGCAAAUCUUGUAUAAAGUUGUUACCUUGCACAAAUCAAAUGAGCUUACAGUGAUACCAGCAACAUGGCUGAAUGAAGAAAGAAAACAAUGUUAUUGGCCGCCAUUUAAGUCACCAGAGAAGUGCACGGAAGCUGUAAAGUUCAGACUUGAUCCUCCAGUGACAGUCCAAAAACCAUGGGAGUUGUUAAAUAUUCAAGUUCACGUGGAAUGUGUCACAUAUAAGCAGGCUAAGAAGAUGCAAAAGUCAUUAAAAGAAUUUGCUGAAAGGUAAGAGAUUCCAUAGGCUACAUAAAAGAGAAAAAUAUUUUAAUGUAAUUUUAGUUUGUUUCACAUGAUUGUUGUUGUUGUUUUGUCUCUUAUUAAUUUUUUAUUACUUGUUUGUCAUGUUUUUUUUUUUUUUUUUUUUUUUUUUAAUAGAUUUUCUUUCAGAUCUCCAUUGCCUUCUGCACUAACAUCUACUCUUCCUCAAAUUGACCAUCAUGGUGAGCCAAAUACUUUUAUAAUGAUCAGUUAAAUGUCUUUCUUUUUCAUUUUGGAAAAGUGUGAAAAAACUGAAGCAUUGUUUGAUAUUGUAAUAGUUUGUAAGAUCUUUUUUGUUUGUUUGAUUUUGUGGUCACUAGAUCAUCUCCGGCUGAAGGCAGUUAAACACCCAGGUCUGGUGGUCAGUUCAGUACAGGGCUCAUACACAUACAGUAGACUGAUAAUAAAAUUAUAUUUCAUAUUUUUUAUAUUUUAUUG